rnacentral:rRNA from 1 species
CGUAGGUGAACCUGUGGAAG